CUACGUAGGUGACAAGCGUUAUCCGGAUUUACUGGGCGUAAAGGGCGUGUAGGCGGUCUUGCAAGUCAGAAGUGAAAUUCCUGAGCUCCACUCGGGCGCUGCUUCUGAAACUGCAGGACUUGAGUGCGGAGGGGAUAGCGGAAUUCCUAGUGGAGCGGUAAAAUGCGCAGAUAUUAGGAAGAACACCGGUGGCGAAGGCGGCUAUCUGGACAGUAACUGACGCUGAGGCGCGAAAGCGUGGGGAGCAAACAGGAUUAGAUACCCUGGUAGUCCACACUGUAAACGAUGAAUGCUAGGUGUAAGAGGUAUCGACCCCUUUUGUGCCGGAGUUAACACAAUAAGUAUUCCGCCUGGGGAGUACGGCCGCAAGGUUGAAACUCAAAUGAAUUGGCGGGG
rnacentral:rRNA from 1 species